rnacentral:rRNA from 1 species
AGGCGAGUGAAGAGGGAAGAGCUCAAAUUGAAAGCUGGUACUUCGGUAUCCGCGUUGUAACCUCGAGACACGUUUUCCKUGCGGCGCUAUGGACAAGUUCCUUGGAACAGGACAUCGUAGAGGGUGAAAAUCCCGUACUUGCCAYGGAUGUACCGUGCUUUUGCGAUACGUGCUCUWAGAGUCGAGUUGUUUGGGAUUGCAGCUCAAAAUGGGUGGUAGACUCCAUCUAAAGCUAAAUAUCGGGGAGAGACCGAUAGCGAACAAGUACCGUGAGGGAAAGAUGAAAAGCACUUUGGAAAGAGAGUUAAAAGUACGUGAAAUUGUCGAAAGGGAAGCGCUUGAAGUCAGCCAUGCCGCUCAGGACUCAGCCUGGCUUUUGCUUGGUGUAUUUCCUGGGUAGCAAGUCAGCAUUGGUUUUGGAUCGUCGGAGAAGCAUAGUCGGAAUGUGGCGCCCUCGGGCGUGUUAUAGCCUUCUAUUGGAUACGACGAUCUAGACCAAGGAACGCAGCGCGCCUUAUGGCGGGUCUUCGGACACCUUCGCGCUU